rnacentral:tRNA from 1 species
GCACCGGUGGUAUAAUGGCUAGUAUCUCAGCCUUCCAAGCUGAUGAUCCGGGUUCGAACAGAUGUCACGCCAUCUGAAAGGCGAAGCGACUUCGUUUGUGCUCAGCCGCGAUCACUCAAAAGAUUGCUGUGCAUCUCAGAAAGUCCCGGCCGGUGCA